rnacentral:rRNA from 1 species
GCAAGUCGAACGAGACCUUCGGGUCUAGUGGCGCACGGGUGCGUAACGCGUGGGAAUCUGCCCUUGGGUUCGGAAUAACAGUUGGAAACGACUGCUAAUACCGGAUGAUGACGUAAGUCCAAAGAUUUAUCGCCCAGGGAUGAGCCCGCGUAGGAUUAGCUAGUUGGUGAGGUAAAGGCUCACCAAGGCGACGAUCCUUAGCUGGUCUGAGAGGAUGAUCAGCCACACUGGGACUGAGACACGGCCCAGACUCCUACGGGAGGCAGCAGUGGGGAAUAUUGGACAAUGGGCGAAAGCCUGAUCCAGCAAUGCCGCGUGAGUGAUGAAGGCCUUAGGGUUGUAAAGCUCUUUUACCCGGGAUGAUAAUGACAGUACCGGGAGAAUAAGCUCCGGCUAACUCCGUGCCAGCAGCCGCGGUAAUACGGAGGGAGCUAGCGUUGUUCGGAAUUACUGGGCGUAAAGCGCACGUAGGCGGCGAUCUAAGUCAGAGGUGAAAGCCCGGGGCUCAACCCCGGAAUAGCCUUUGAGACUGGAUUGCUUGAAUCCAGGAGAGGUGAGUGGAAUUCCGAGUGUAGAGGUGAAAUUCGUAGAUAUUCGGAAAAACACCAGUGGCGAAGGCGGCUCACUGGACUGGUAUUGACGCUGAGGUGCGAAAGC